AGAUGGUAUUUUAAAAAAAAAAAAUUGCAAUCUUACGAAUAUUAAUGCCAAGAAAACUCCCAGAGCAAAGGUUACUCAUGGUUAAGGCUACCGGGCCAGACCUACCAUUAAACGCAGUUCUAACAACUUUGGAUGAAUUUUACCUUCUGCUGCUCCUGUUAGUUUCAUGCAAAAAAAGUUCGCCUCUGAUGAGAAAUAACCUCGAAAUUUCAGUAGAAGCCUUUUCAACAGUAUCAAUUUGUUGUUUCAGCAACUGUGAUAGAUUAUCUUCGAAAAUUUUGGAAUUCCCGAUACAAAAAUACUGAGAAGGCGACUUCCGUAUAAAACUGUGGCCACCGAGAAAGCUAGACUUUUUCAAUCUUAUGAAUUAACCUCAUUUCAAAAAACCAUAUUUCGAGAAAUUCAUAUUUUCAGUUUCCAAUAUGCCUGCCCCUGUUUCCACCCUGCCGCCUCCUGAUGGCUGUUGCCCUCCUCCACCUCUACACAUUUCUCAUUCUCUUGAAAAUCUUGCGAAUUUGGUAAAGCUUGUGUGACCGUUGAGCAAUAACAUUCAACAGUUGAGGAACGCUCAGUCAAUAUUAUCUCGUAACCAUCUCGAAAAUUGUCCAUUCUCUCAGUUAUGAGUUGCCAAAACAGGCCUCCAGAAGUUGCACCUCCUCUUUUUGCUGGUGAGUAUAUCUUGUAAUAAACUGUGUUAAACAUCAGGUCUCUCUGAUAUGUGCUGAAACCAGGAUCUUUCCAAGAUUUUCCAAACUCGGUAGUGAGGUGGAUUGUGUUGAUGCAUCUUGGAUGAAUGCAUUGAACCAGUUGUUCAAGAAAGUAAGUUGGUAUUGGUUGUUAGAGCUAGAUAAUGAUAACCAUUGAUCAGGAUAUAAGUGGACUGUUGCGAAAUCAAUGCCAGGGAUGCGGUUAUUGGAAAUGAAAUCUGUCCCUAUUUCAAUACCAGGGUUGAGAUUCUUUCUCUGUGGUGUCAAUUGUCCUAAAAUCCUUCUAAACCAGCUUCAAGCAAGUGAUUUCUGUCUAUUGACUUCACAAAAUGAGCCGUUUCCAUUAUCCAAGCCUGUCAUAAAGAUCCAAGAAUUCACAUGUAAGCAUGGAUUAUGUGCUAAUGAAGAUGCAUUAAGGGAAGAUAAUCAAUUUUUUUUUGCUAACUUUUGCAUUGAUUGAGGACGUCCCUACUCCCAUGGAAGUGGGGCUAAAAGCAAGAUGACCACCAGAAAAGGAAACUUGAAAGCUUUAUUGCUGAGUAGUGGACAAACAAAAUUAGGUAGAAAUUGAAUUCCAAUUGAACUUCCAAGGGCUGGAUUAAGAAUUCAUCAAGCUCAAAAAAUAAACUUUUUUUUUCUAUUAUUUUUCAAAAUUAGUGAAAUAAUGAAGGAUGCAAGGUAAAGAUUAGACGUAAAAAAUAAAAAAUAGAGAGAAAGAAACCUGAAUAGCUUGAAUAGCUAAGCCGGAUGGAUCAGAUGUGCAUCUAGGCUCUUUCAUAAGCUCCCAUGCCAUGAUUGUUGAUCAUCUUUGUAAUGAAUUCCAGUAAAGCUGUUGUAUCUGUUAAGAACAGUCUUUAUAUGAUUCUUAAAGUAACCCUUAACCACAGGGUGUCUAAAGAAAUCAUCAUCAGAAGACAGGUAUUGCCCUUGAUUUCUAGCCCAGUUCACAUACUGCUUCUUCCCUCCAAAGCUAUCAUAGUUGUUAGCUAAGCUCAAUGUGAGCUUGAUCCCAUAUCUUCUAGCCUCAGCUAUAACAAAAUCCAGUCCCUUUAAACCAACAAAAGGAACCCAAAUCAUCAAGAUUGUGAAUCUACAAGAAUUAAGGCACAAAUUGAAGCUAAAAGAGUUUGUAUUCAUCAAGAGACCUUAAACAUUUCUUCAUUAUAGGAACCAGGAGAGUACUUACUGCAGAGGCUCGUAACAACCAUCACUGAAAGCCCAAAUUCUAGCAACAGUGAGGCCAUGGGUUGCUGCCUGAUGAAAUGCAGAUGAAACCUUGUGUCUCAGAGAUGGAUCAGAAGCUACAUACAUCAACCAGUAGGCAUUGAAGCAUUUGCAUAGCAAGGGCUAUCAUUCAAAAAGAAAUGGUUUCCUUGUUGGAUCAAAAUGGCUAGCAAAAGAGCCUAAACAAAAUGCCUCAUCUCUAUCUCUGUGUGUGUGUUUGAAGUGAGGAAGCAAUCUUGGACUAAUAUAGAGAAAGAGUUGCUGUUUAAAAGCUGAGAUCUUCUUAUUUAUUUAAGGCAAUGUGAAAACUUUAAAUUUCUCUCUAUUCUAUAUUUAUUUUUAAUUUAUCUGUUACUAAAUCUAUAUAUAC
rnacentral:misc_RNA from 1 species